UACGUAGGAGGCAAGCGUUUGUCCGGAAUUACUGGGCGUAAAGCGUGCGCAGGCGGUUCGUUGUGUCGGUGGUGAAAGCCCCGGGCUUAACCUGGGAAUGGCCAUGGAAACUGGCGAACUGGAGUGUGGCAGAGGGGGGUGGAAUUCCGCGGUGUAGCAGUGAAAUGCGUAGAGAUGCGGAGGAACAUCGAUGGCGAAGGACAGCCCCC
rnacentral:rRNA from 1 species